UACGAGGGGUCCAAACGUUAUUCGGAAUCACUGGGCUUACAGAGUUCGUAGGCGGCUCUACAAGUGAGGUGUGAAAGCCCUCGGCUCAACCGAGGAACUGCGCGUCAAACUGUAAAGCUAGAGGGAGAUAGAGGUGAGCGGAACUGAUGGUGGAGCGGUGAAAUGCGUUGAUAUCAUCAGGAACACCGGAGGCGAAGGCGGCUCACUGGGUCUCUUCUGACGCUGAGGAACGAAAGCUAGGGGAGCAAACGGG
rnacentral:rRNA from 1 species